rnacentral:precursor_RNA from 15 species
CUUGGGCACUUUCUCUUCCAGGUGCCUGGCAGUGUAGAAGAGAGUGGGAAUGUCAUGUUCUAUCAGGCAACGCACUCCUUUCUCGCUGCCUAGCAUCUAGGGCUUUGCUACCACGCCUG